CUCAUGGUCAGAGGGCAACUAGUUAGGUAAGUUAAUGACCUCAUGGUCAGAGGGCAACUAGUUAGGUAAGUUAAUGACCUCAUGGUCAGAGGGCAGCUAGUUAGGUAAGUUAAUAACCUCAUGGUCAGAGGGCAGCUAGUUAGGUAAGUUAAUAACCUCAUGGUCAGAGGGCAGCUAGUUAGGUAAGUUAAUAACCUCAUGGUCAGAGGGCAGCUAGUUAGGUAAGUUAAUGACUAUAUUUUACACAGUUAACUGCUUUAAAGUAUAAGCCAAUCAGCAACCCACCAGGUACUACCUCACAGCUCUUAGGAGUCUGUGCACACUGGGACAACAUUACUGUAAUGACUACCUGAGAUGGACUGGAUCUAGUAGACUGGGUCUAGUGGACUGGAUGGAGAUGGAUUGGAUCUAGUGGACUGGAUGGAGAUGGACUGGGUCUAGUGGACUGGAUUUAGUGGACUGGAUGGAGAUGGAUUGGAUCUAGUGGACUGGAUGGAGAUGGACUGGGUCUAGUGGACUGGAUCUAGUGGACUGGAUCACCAUAAUUUGCAAAUAAAUUCAUUAAAAACCCUGCAAUGUGAUUUUGUGGAUUUUUUUUCUCAUUUUGUCUGUCAUAGUUGAAGUGUACCUAUGAUAAAUUACAGGCCUCUCAUCUUUUUAAGUGGGAGAACUUGCACAAUUGGUGUCUGACUAAAUACUUUUUUGCCCCACUGUAUCACUCGUGUUAAUCUGCUAAAUUGUAAUUACUUCGCUACUAUGGCCUAUUUAUUGCCUUACCUCCUCACGCCAUUUGCACACACUGUAUAUAGACUUUCUUUUUUUUCUAUUGUGUUAUUGACUGUAUGUUUG
ensembl:lncRNA